rnacentral:lncRNA from 1 species
GUGAUUGUUCAAGAUUGUAGAAAAGAAGAACAAAUUUGCCAUUUUUCUUGUUUGAACACCUUACUUAACCUGAGAAAAAUAGUGGUGUGAAAAAAAUCAGUUAUAUUCAACUUUUGCUUAACAAUGGGAAAAAAUGAUUUUAGUAUAUUUGUUCCAUGAAUUCGAAAUCUGAACUGAACACUUAUUACAUUGUACUGAAUUGACUAGACAAGUUAAAAAUGUUGAUACAAUUUCACUCACAUAAUAAGCUGGCAUGGUAAAAACUAUCUUUCACCGAAUCAGCUGUUUUUAAAGCACCUUCUACAUUUUUUUUUUACAGGAUUAAAGGAUCCUAAGUUUUAUUCUUCUUUGUACAAAUGCUAUAGUUAAUGGACAUGUUUACUUAAUGGAAAUUGGUCCAUGAACUAUGGCCAUAAUAGCAACAUGCAUAUAUAUAUGUAAAUGUAAAGCAUGGCAGAUGACACUCAUAAUAUGUACAUGGCAAGUUGGCACUGUUCAUCUGAUGGUUUACUGCUCGGGAAUUAAUGGACUUAUUAUAUAAUUUUUAAAAACAAAUUGUAAUUUUUCUUAUAAGUUAUUUUGAAUUUUUACCCAAUUUUUAAAAAAAUGACAGGAGCACCUUUUUUUUUUUUUUAUCUAUACGGAAAAAUGGGAUUUAAACAGGAUUUUUUUGAACAGAUCUGUUUAUCUUUAAUG